GGUGUUAUUUAUUCUUUCUGAAGUUUUGUUUUUCAUUUUUAGAAGAAAGAUAUUGUAUAUAACUUUUCACCUAAUUACUCAAAUAACUAGAUUAAGUAGUAGCUAAUAGAUUUCGAUUCCAUCUAUCUCUUACAAUUUGCUAAUCCUAAUUUGAAUAUCAAAGAAAUAAGCAUGGUUCAAGAAUUUCCAGAAGGCUUGUGCAUCCUACUUGAGAGUGCCAUAAUGUAUGGGCAAAAUGAUGAGCUUCUCAAUUUUCUUGCAAGUGAAAAUGCUACUUCAGAUGAUUUUGAUUGCAUAAUUAACAAGCUAGGAGAAAAUCUUGAUGAUUGUUUUGACUUUCCUGUUGUUCUCGAUAAUAUCUUAUUAUUGAUUGGAGAGAUUCUAUCUAUUGCUAAUUUAAGUUUGGAGCAAACUGUAAUCUUAUCAAGAAGUCUUCUCUUAAUUUCUUCUAAUGUAAAUUGUAGUAUUUCAAACACUAAACAGGUUCUUAAUAUGCUCAACAAAUCUUUUGAUGAUCAACAAGUUGCAUCAUGGCUUAUAAAUGACAAGUCCUUAGAAAUUGUUGUCGUGGCUCUGGGGAAGAGACUAUUUGUUAUUGGAGAUUUUGAGUGCCAAAUUGCCAUGUUUGAAGUUAUGUGUAGAUUGGCAUCAUGUGUACAUGAUAAGAUUUAUUGGGCACGCCUUUGGUUUUCUUCUAAACAACUCAAAGCUAAAUUUUUAAAUCUCAGACAAGAUCAGUUUGAGCAGGACAGUCGAAAAAUUUUAAAUUACAUUAACAUGAUGGAGCCCAUACCGAGAGUAUUCUCAUUUAUGGCAAAAUCAGUUUGGCUAGGAGAAUUCCAGCUUCAAAAGCCACAAGACAGUGAUUUCUGGAUCGAUCUAAGCUUUGGUUCUCAGAUAAUAUCUUUCUUUUGUUCCGAGAUUUUUAGUGAAGAGGAGGAUCCACCAUGGGAAACAGUAUCUAUAUCUGCAGGAAUGAUAGAUAAUUAUACUAUUUGUGAUAAUGCAGAGGAGGAGAUGACAACUCUCAUUCUUCAAUUAAAAUGUAGUUGCAAUCAACUCAUGUCAACCAACUCUGAAAAUGUACAGUUUGGCAGGGAUGAAGUUAAAAUAACUUUUUGGUGUCCUGAUCAUAAUAUAAAAAAACUUGUUGCCAGGUUACUAGAAGAAGAUUAUGAAGAAGAAAAGAUUGAAUUGAGUGAAAAUUUACAAAUUGGAAAAAGAAAGAUAUCAGUAUCUACAGAAAUUACGUCUUGUGAGCAGUUUGAGGAAACUGAAGCGUCAGUAAUUAAGAGAAGAAAGCUAUCAGAGAACAGUGAUUUACUGAAUGUUAAUGAAUUGCAGGAAACUGAAGCCAUACAACAAGGGCAUCGAAAAAUAUCUGAAAGUGAAAAUUUAAUGAAUGCUUUUGAAACAAAGAAUGAUCCUGUCUUGCCAAGUGUUGGAAGAAAACUCUCUGAGAUUGAUGAAUUAAUGGAGACACAUCAAAUUGAGGAAACUAAUAUCUUGCCUAAGAAAAUUAGAAAACUUUCUCAAUCUAAGGAAAUUAUUACAUCAGAAGAAAAUGAGACAAAUGCAAUAUCUAUGGAACAGGUCAAAACUGCUAUUGAUGAAAUAUUAAAAACGAAUAUUGUUGAGAAAGAAAAAACAAACGAAACAGAUACAUUCAAACUGCCUAUCGAAGAUGAUUCUCAAUAUGUAAUUUCAGCCACUCCUGUUAACCAAAGAGCAUCCGCUAAUAAGUUGAAAGAAAGAAAAUUGAAAUCAUCUCUGUCUCUUAAGUCACAAAGAAAACCUGAUACUACCAGGCAUAAUUUCACUGAUGCCAAAGUUAAUAAUGUUAAAAGUUUCUGUUCAAUGAGUAACAGUUGCACAGACAGAUGUGAUUUAAGUGACAAAAUUGUAAACUUGACCCCACAGGUACAACCGAAACGUGUAAAAUUGUUUAAUGUGGAUUCCACUCCCAUGUACAAUAAACCACCUACUUUGAGAUCUAGCCAAGUUGUCCAAAAUAAAAACAUUUUUGUAAAUAAUGAUAGUAAUGUGUCCCAGCUGAUUGCUAAUGAUGAAGAAAACUUUAGUAAUGAGAGUAUUUUGGAAACAAAAAAGACUAAAAUCUCAGAUGAAAAAAAUUUAGUUAGUAAAAGUAAAAAUGAUUUAGCAUUAACUCAAGUGCGAGCCUCGCCUGCUUCUAAAUUAAAUGACACAGUUGCUGUUGAAUUUGAUGACUUGAACUUGCCUUGUUUGGAUGUAUUUUCCAAUAAGGAACCUCCUAAGGAAGAAAAUUUACAGAAAGAUACAGAAGCUAAAAAGAAGAAAGAUUCUCCUAGUUCAAAAAAAGAGAAUACUGCUAAAAAGAGAACAAGAAGGAAACAAACUCAAAGGCAAAAUUUUAGUUCAGAUGUUGAUUCUGACUCCCAAAUUAUAUCAGAUAAGAAUUCUAAAAAAAAGAUAGAAAAAAAGAAAAUUCAAAGACAAAAGAUCUUAGAUGAAGAUUUUGACACAAGAACUUUAGUGAAUAAGAAACCAAGAGCUGCUGCUUUGAACGCAAAGAGAAAAAAUAAAAGUUUACUAAAGCAAAAAGAGUUGGAUGAAAAUUCUAUACUUUCUUCAACAAUCAAAAGAAAGUAUGAAAGUGAGGAUGAUGUUAGUUGUUAUUCACCAAAAAAGAAGAAAAACAAUGCUUGUUCAAUUUUCCAGACUGAUACGGAAACUCAGAGUAGCGAAAUCAGCUGGUUUAAAGGAGGAAAACGUGGGUUAUUUCAAACUCCUCCAUUAAAGAAUUACACAAGAAAGAAUUAUAAAAGCAGGACUUCUCUGAAAAAGUGGAAACAACAAGGAGCAAUUCAAAAGAAAAGGGAAUUUCAGAAGAAAACUAAAUUUUUUGAUGACAAAAGUUCAGAAUCUGGUACAAAAUCAAAGAGUAUGGGACUUUCUGAUAUAGACAAAUUUAGUUUAGUUGUAGAAAAAGAAAGUCCUAAAAAAAUGGCUCAUGUUAGGAAAUCCACAAAUUUUCAUUUUGAAUUACUGAAUUCAGUUAAUGAAAAAAUACUUGAUGCAACAUCUGAUGAAAAUUUAAAUCAUAAUUUUACUGAUAAUGACAUUAUUGGUGGACAUUCCAAUCCGAGGGUUUUGGACAAACUUAGUUUGCCUAAACAAGCAAAAAAAAAUAUUAGCAAAGAUAAUCAGAGUUUCAAAAUAAAACCCGUUAAACAAAAGGAAAAGUUUCUGCAUUGUAACUAUUUAAAAAUAAGUGAUGAAAAAUCAAAGCUUAAAACUGUGAGAAAAUUCGAUACAUAUGUUAAAGAUGGCUUGUGUACCUCUCUUAAAGCUUUCGACAAAACUCAUGAUGAUUUGUGUUCUACAAUCCAAAAUUCCAAAUUUGGGCUCAUAAAUCAGAAUAAUUACAGUAAAUCUGAAGGAGAUCAAAUGGACAUUAAUAUUGAGCAUCCAGAAACUUUGUUUGACGGUAGUGAAUCAAGAAAUGAAUUUACUGCUACUUUGAAUAUUCAGGAGGAGAAGUGUGAUUUAUCUAAACCUAGUUCUCUACCUGAUAUUCAUGAGACUGACGAGAAUGUUUGUAGAACUUUGUCAAUAGAGAGUUUGAACUCCUUAGAAGAAUUACGAAAUGAAGAAAGUGGCAAGAAGUUACACAUGAAACUGUUUUUAGAGAGUUUGUCCAGCGAGUCACCUCCGCCUCCAAGUGAUAUGGGAGAUUUUUGUGCAAGAGUGGUCUCUAAAAGAUCUUCAUCACAGUGCUCUUUUUCUGUAAAUGAAAUUCCUUGUAAAAAUAUAAAAACUGAUAAAAAUCAAAAUGAUCAAAGUGACCUACAGUUUAGCCCUAAGAAAAUGGAAAAGAAGGUUAAACGAAAAUUGAAUGUACACAUUGGUUCUAUUGUUAAGAACCGGAAAUCUGAGAAAAUUUUUAUACAUUCUGAAAAGAAAUCCCCAAGCUCUCCAAACAAGCAAUUUAAGGAUAAAAAACAAAACAAAGCUGAUUUAAGUCAUAUUCAGUGUUAACUAAACUCGCCUCCGAAGUAAAUCUUCUAACAAAAAGACUUUUUGGAACAUUACAGAAAUGUACUUCUAAUUUUUGUAAUGAACUGAACAUUCUUCGAUCUAACUUCUUGAUCAAAAUUGAAGAUAUGAUUUCUCAUAAUACAAAUCUCAGUGAAAAAGAUUUGAAAAAACUGGCUUUGAAUUGUAAAGAAAGUAGACUUCAAAUACAA
rnacentral:misc_RNA from 1 species